ensembl:lncRNA
AAUGAAACGCCCGCCUAUCAAAAGAGCACAUUUUCCAACGAGACGGACUCGUGACGGAAAAACGCUGGGUGUCACACGUCCAGCCCAGGGGUGAGGAAAAGGGACUGACCAGGAAGGGAGGCCUGCGGGGCAGAACGAUCGGCCUGAGGAGACGCGAGGGCAGAGAGGCUGGAAGCGAGGGGGUCUCAGGGGUCGGGCGGGCUCUCCGGAAUCCCAGGACCGGGGAGAGGAAUCGGCUUCUCCGGGAGUGGAACUGUCGACGCGACCUCCAGGGGUCGACAGGGUGAGGCGGUGGAGGUGGGCGUGCCCGAAUCCCCCUCGCGCCCGGGGACUUGACAAGGCACAGGCGCAGGUACUAACGGUUAAGUUUUAAGCAUGAAAAUAUCCCGGAAGGCGGCGUCUCCGGGGCCAAAGGCGAAAACCAAACGGCAAGGACAAGCCUCACAGCGAUUUCGAAUACUUGACCUAAACGGCGGCCUCUGGGUUUAUUUAGGGCGGAGUUCGGGGUAUUGGGAUAUUACUGCCGCAGAACCAGCCGGACCCUGAAGAUGGGCGUGGCGAAGCCUCCUGGAAAUUUUGAGGAUUUGGGUCACUUUGCUCUCCCCCUCCGGAUGCGAGGAAAACAUGCACUGGGCACAGUGGAGAGGAGGAAGCUGGCGGGUUCCGCGGACCAGAGGCGCUGCUGCGGCGGGGCUCCACGCCGCCAUGCCCGCAGAGGCGGCCGGCCUUCCCAGCUGGAAGGCCAAACUCCACAUGGCUCGGUUCCAGAGACACAAGGUCAAAACCUACAGUCUGAGACUGGAGGACUAAGGACAUUCUGGUGGUCACAGGAAUUCCAGGUUAAGAAUCUGCCUUGCAACAAAGAGAAUUUGUGUUCAAUCCUUCGUAAAAGCAGGGCACACCCCUGCUUUUGCUUCUGGAGCCUCAGAAAUAGUAUGGGGACUUAAGAUCCCCCAGGAGGCGGAGCAACUAAGCCCAGGCACUGCAAAGACAAAGGCUGCAUACUCCAGAGCCCCCAUGCCAUGAUUAAACGUCCUGUGUGAUGCAAUGAAGAUCCCAUGAUCCACAACUAAGACCCACUGCAGUCAAAUAAAUAAACGUUCUUUAAAAUAUACUGAUUCUGCUUCCUUUGGAUAUAUAAUCAGAAGUGAGACUGUGAGGUCCUAUGCAUGUUUUAUUUGUAAUAUUUGAGGAACCUCCAUACUGCUUCCCAUGUACUAUUUACAUUCCCGCCAUCCAUUCACAAGAGUUCCUGUUUAUUUGUAUUGUUCAG